rnacentral:lncRNA from 1 species
UGACCUUGAGCUUGAUGUUGUUCCAUCAUCAACAAAUGACAAAGAAACCAGCAAGCUUGUUUCUACUGAUGCAAGGCCAGAUAUUGGUAGCUCCAGACCUUCAGUAGAUGCAGCAGCAGCAAGGGGGACAGCUGAUGCAAGGCCAGAUAUUGGUAGCUCCAGACCUUCAGUAGAUGCAGCAGCAGCAAGGGGGACAGCUGAUGCAAGGCCAGAUAUUGGUAGCUCCAGACCUUCAGUAGAUGCAGCAGCAGCAAGGGGGACAGCUGAUUGCAAUUCAUCAAGAGCCCCAGAAAAGAAGCACAAUAUGGCACUCCCUGUGCAAUUCACC